AUAAUGCUAUAAUUAGACUAUAAUAAUACUAAACAAGCUUUAAUCAAAUUCAAAGAAACUUCAAAGAAAUUUCAAAGAAACAAUAAGAAAUCUUAAAGAAAUAUUAGAAUGAUUAAAAAUAUCUCUCAAAUACAUCUCAAUUCAAUUUUAAUUUAAUCCUAAUUAAAAUCUUAUUGGAUUUCAUUCAAACUUUAGGUCAAAACUAAUUAAAUCUUAAAUUCUAAAUAAAUCCUAAUAAAAUCCUAAAUCCUAAAUCAAACUCUAAAUCCUAAAGCAAGUUCUAAUCAAAUCCUAACCAAACCCUAAAUUGUAAGCCAAAUCUUAAAUAAACCCUAAAUCCUAAAACAAACCCUAAACAAACUCUAAACCAAAUUUCAACCAAAUCCUAAAUCCUAAAUCAAAUCCUAAAUCUUAAACCAAAUCCCAACCAAACACUAAAUCCUAAAUCCUAAAUCAAAUCCUAACCAAACUCUAACCAAAUCCUAAAUCAAAUCCUAAAUCUUAAAUCAAACUCUAAUCAAAACUCUAAUAUUAUUAUUAUCCUAAUCAAAUUCUAAACCCUAAACCAAACCCUGACCAAAUCCUAAAUCCUAAACCAAAUCUCAACUAAAUCCUAAAUCAAACCCUAAAUAAAUCCUAAAUCAAAUCUUAAUCAAAUCUUAAAUCAAACCCUAAAUUCUAAAUCAAACCUUAAUCAAACCUUAACCCCAAAUCAAAUUCUAAACUAAAUUCCAACCAAAUCCUAAACCAAACCCUAAAUCCUAAAUCCUAAAUCAAAUUCUAAUCAAAUCUUAAUCCUAAAUCAAAUCCU
rnacentral:lncRNA from 1 species